rnacentral:rRNA from 1 species
AUGAACGCUGGCGGCGUGCCUAAUACAUGCCAGUCGAGCGAACAGAUGAGGAGCUUGCUCCUCUGACGUUAGCGGCGGACGGGUGAGUAACACGUGGAUAACCUACCUAUAAGACUGGGAUAACUUCGGGAAACCGGAGCUAAUACCGGAUAAUAUAUUGAACCGCAUGGUUCAAUAGUGAAAGACGGUUUUGCUGUCACUUAUAGAUGGAUCCGCGCCGCAUUAGCUAGUUGGUAAGGUAACGGCUUACCAAGGCAACGAUGCGUAGCCGACCUGAGAGGGUGAACGGCCACACUGGAACUGAGACACGGUCCAGACUCCUACGGGAGGCAGCAGUAGGGAAUCUUCCGCAAUGGGCGAAAGCCUGACGGAGCAACGCCGCGUGAGUGAUGAAGGUCUUCGGAUCGUAAAACUCUGUUAUUAGGGAAGAACAAAUGUGUAAGUAACUAUGCACGUCUUGACGGUACCUAAUCAGAAAGCCACGGCUAACUACGUG